CCGGACGUAGCUCAAUCAGAAGAGCCGUGACGCUAAUAAUAGUCACAAGGUGCGGGUGCAAGUCCUGCCGUCCGGU
rnacentral:tRNA from 1 species